rnacentral:rRNA from 1 species
AGCACAUUUCAUAGCCUUCAUAAGAUUGGCCCUGGUCAGUGCUUGGUUGGGAGACCUUCUAGGAUGCAGUAGGAAAUUGUGUUG